AUGGGAGUCCCCCAUGCAAAUCUCCCCCAGCCUCCUAGGUUAAAUAGCAGCCCCAUGCUGUGGAGGGUCAGUCUCUCUCCUGAGCCUGGGCUGAAGGUCUCUGGGGAAGACGUGGUUUCCAAGGUUCAGAAGAACAUGAAAUCCUGGUGGCUGCUCCUCUCUCUGUUGGCCACUCCUUGCUGGGUUCUGUCUCAGAUCCGGCUGGAGGAGUCUGGCCCAGGCGUGGUGAAGCCCUCAGAGACCCUGACACUCUCCUGCACCAUCACCGGUUACUCCAUCACAACCACUUAUUCCAACUGGUACUGGAUCCGUCAGCCCCUGGGGAAGAGUCCACAGUGGUUGGGGUAUAUAUAUUAUGAUGGAAGCACUAACUAUGAACCAUCUGUAAAGAGCCGAGUGUCUUUCUCCAGAGACACAUCCAAGAACGAGUUCUCUCUGCAGCUGAACGGCAUGACACCCGCAGACACGGCCGUGUAUUAUUGUGCAAGACACACAGUGAGGGGCAAUGAGUGUGAGCCCAGACACAAACCUUCCCCUGCAGGAGCCUUAAGCUCUAAGUCUUCUGGGAUGCUUAGUUCAGACAGCUCCAUGCUGGGGAUGUGA